GCCAGGCGUGGUGGCCCACACCUGUAGUCCCAGCUACUCAGGAGGCUGAGGCAGGAGAAUUGCUUGAACCUGGGAGGUGGAGGCUGCAGUGAGCUAAGAUCGCGCCACUGCACUCCCGCCUGGGCAACAGAGUGAGACCCUGUCUCAA
rnacentral:SRP_RNA from 1 species